rnacentral:rRNA from 1 species
GACGAACCGUGCGAACGUUGUUCGGAAUCACUGGGCUUAAAGGGCGCGUAGGCGGGUCCUCAAGUCAGGGGUGAAAUCUUUCAGCUCAACUGGAAAAGUGCCCCUGAUACUGAGAGUCUCGAGGGAGGUAGGGGCAUGUGGAACUAAUGGUGGAGCGGUGAAAUGCGUAGAUAUCAUUAGGAACGCCGGUGGCGAAAGCGACGUGCUGGACCUCUUCUGACGCUGAGGCGCGAAAGCUAGGGGAGCAAACGGG